UACAGAGGCUUCAAGCGUUAUCCGGAUUUAUUGGGCGUAAAGCGUCCGUAGGUGGCCAAUUAAGUCAGACGUGAAAUCCCUCGGCUUAACCGGGGAACUGCGUCCGAUACUGGAUGGCUUGAGUUCAGGAGAGGGAUGCGGAAUUCCAGGUGUAGCGGUGAAAUGCGUAGAUAUCUGGAGGAACACCGGUGGCGAAGGCGGCAUCCUGGACCGGCAUUGACGCUGAGGCGCGAAAGCCAGGGGAGCAAACGGG
rnacentral:rRNA from 1 species